rnacentral:misc_RNA from 1 species
AAAAAGUUAAUUAAAUACAGAAAACAAUAUAGAUGAAAAUGCAACAGAAUUUCAAACUAAAAGGGAAAAAGAUUUAAAAAAAAAUGACAUUUUAAAAGUCUAAGUCAUGGAUAUAAUUAAGUGAUUAGAUGUAUCAUGGGGACCGACUUAAAAAAUUAUGUGAAUAUUUCUACAACUUAAAAAAAAAUAGGGUCAUUACCCAAUUAUGGUCCCUUCA